rnacentral:rRNA from 1 species
UACGUAUGGAGCAAGCGUUAUCCGGAUUUACUGGGUGUAAAGGGAGCGUAGGCGGCAUACCAAGCCUGAUGUGAAAACCCGGGGCCCAACCCCGGGAGUGCAUUGGGAACUGGCAAGCUAGAGUGUCGGAGAGGCAGGCGGAAUUCCUAGUGUAGCGGUGAAAUGCGUAGAUAUUAGGAGGAACACCAGUGGCGAAGGCGGCCUGCUGGACGAUGACUGACGCUGAGGCUCGAAAGCGUGGGGAGUAAACAGG